CUGUAUCUAAUUGGCUAAAUUGCCUGGUUUGUUUGCAGGACUCUGAAGGUUCCUGGCACUGAGUGCUGCGACAAAAGACAGAUUUAGAUUUCUGCAAAGAUAGGACUCUUUCUAAAACCACAACCCUUGGCUCCUGUUAAAUCCCACGAGAGAGGAAUGGAGUGAGUGAGGAAAGGAGGAUAGAUAGAGUGAUUUGUCCACUUUAUGAAGAAGAACAGGGGUUGGUUUCAAUGCUGAGCUGUACACUGAACCACGUCUGAGCUCCAGAGGAGGGUGACUCAUUCCCACCUACUCUCUACUUUAUCACCGGCUCCACAAUGGAGGCGACAGCACACUUGUUCUCUCCACCUUCCAGGCUGACGGACAGGAGAGAACCUACAGAGCUGUGAUAAGUGGCUCUCUCUGUCUGAAAAGGCCUUGCUGCAACCUGAAGGAGCAGCCCUGACUGACUUCUACUGGUACAGGCAAAUAGAAGGAGCAGCCUUUUAGUUGAAGCCUUUUCUUGUCAUGCAUGACCUUUUGACACAUGAAAACCAAAGAGGAAAAGAAACCCAGGAACACCUUGUAGUUGUUGUCUUCAUACCAGUUGAAGGACAGAACACUGGAGCCCCCUCCUUCUGGGUAUCCGCAGAACAGGCUGGACACCCCAGACAUCAGCUGGGUGAAGGAGGAGGGACCCC